GACGAACGCUGGCGGCGUGCCUAAUACAUGCAAGUAGAACGCUGAAGAGAGGAGCUUGCUCUUCUUGGAUAAGUUGCGAACGGGUGAGUAACGCGUAGGUAACCUGCCUUGUAGCGGGGGAUAACUAUUGGAAACGAUAGCUAAUACCGCAUAACAAUAGGUGACACAUGUCAUUUAUUUGAAAGGGGCAAUUGCUCCACUACAAGAUGGACCUGCGUUGUAUUAGCUAGUAGGUGAGGUAACGGCUCACCUAGGCGACGAUACAUAGCCGACCUGAGAGGGUGAUCGGCCACACUGGGACUGAGACACGGCCCAGACUCCUACGGGAGGCAGCAGUAGGGAAUCUUCGGCAAUGGGGGCAACCCUGACCGAGCAACGCCGCGUGAGUGAAGAAGGGUUUCGGAUCGUAAAGCUCUGUUGUAAGUCAAGAACGAGUGUGAGAGUGGAAAGUUCACACUGUGACGGUAGCUUACCAGAAAGGGACGGCUAACUACGUG
rnacentral:rRNA from 1 species